rnacentral:lncRNA from 1 species
CAGGAAGCAGAGAGAGACUCCACUCUCCAGAGACAAAUAGAGACCCCAAAGCCACGCCCCCAAUGCCCCCUCCUCCAGCCACACCCACCUGCCUCCAGCCACCACCCAGUUAAUCCCAUCAGGGGUUCAUUCACUGGUUGGGUUAAGACUCUCACAACCCAGUCAUGUUUCCUCUGGACCUUCUUGUACCAUCUCACACAUGUGCUUUUGGGGGACAACUCACAUCCAAACCAUAAUGCUCUUUGAAAUUAUGUUUAUUUCUUUGCUGUUUAUUUUCUGCCUUCUCCAUUGGCACUAUGUUCAAUGGGACUCAUUAUUUUGUCUCUAGGGUUUGGCCAGGCCUGUCUCACUGUCUGAUUUGUGAAUGACAUUUUAUUGGAACAGGGCCAGAGCCUUUCGCUAUUUACGGUCUGGGUCUUCUCCUGGACUUCACCAUCAGUCAGUGCUGAGAAGGUCUACAGAGACCUUGUGGCCCUCAAAGCCCAAACUUCUUGUCAUCUGGCCCGUGUUGGAAAAUGUUUGCUGAUUCCUGCCUAGACUACUGACACAGAUUAAGUACCUAAUGAACACUUGUGGAGUGAGUGAACCAAUAAAUGAACACACAUGGAAAAAAUGCAGACUAAUCAAAACGGUUCAAGGGACAGGACUAUGCUUGGAAUUGUUUUUCUUUAGAAACCCUGACGUUUUGUUUAAUGAUACAGAUGACAUUUUGUUUAAUGAUCUAGAAAAAUACAUAUGUUUUAAUAUUUUAAUAUAUAUACUUUAAAAUAUAUAUGCAUAUUUUUAUAUUGCAUUUGUAAAUAUUGUAUGUAUAUAUUACCUUAAAGGCAGAAGCAAAAUUUAGAAAGUCAUACUACCAUCUAUGUAGAUCCUUGGGAAUAGAGUUUCAGAGUCCUUUGAACGAAGAAUUGCUACAAUUCUAGAUUACUGAGUGAUUGGCUCAUGUUUUUGUUUUAGUUCAAAAGCAAAGCGCCCUCCUUGCUAAUUAUCUUUCUAUUUGUGAAUUAACAGCAGGCAAACCCACGGGGAUUCUUUGAGACUCUGUUUCACAGCUGACUUUGUGGGUCGUUCAAACAUGAAUAGGGCAGACCUGACUCGUGUAGUUGGGUAAAUACUAUUUGCCACACUGGUCACUGAUCAAAACUAAGUUGAGGCAAAGCCUCACGGGGGCUUGGUUAUGUUGGUCUCUGCUGUAGAUAUGACAUAAAUCUGACAACUCACAAACCUCCAAGCCAGUUCCAUCCUUUGUGACUGAACCAUUCUUAUUUGUUCCUUCCAAAUGAGCCUUCUUUGUCUAAAACUGAAAUCUAUGAGCCAAGAAAAGAACAAUGAACUUUUCUGGUUUUAAAAGUUCAAAAAAGGAAACUAGAAGGAGACAUUUUAUUUGUUUCACACAAAGAUGAAAAUGGGUGGCCCCAUCAUCUCCCUGCUCCUGAAGAUACGGCCUCUUCUGUUUUAGACUGAUUUGCUCAUUGUCUCAAGGAUCCUUUAGGGGCCUUUCUAACCAGUCGCGUAAGCCAAGAGAGGAGAAGAAAUCUACUUACCAAAAGGUUGCCUUUUGAAAAGACAGUGUUUUUACUCCAUUUCACAAGAAACAAUGAUUCUGGGAGCUCCGGGGCAUUCAUUUUUCACAGGCGAAAUAUUCAUCUUUAAUGCGCAUGACCACAGGUUAAACGGAAUGCUAAGUUUGUGUAUGUUGGCCAGAAUUAUGCCAUUCAAGGCUUCCUCCCUUUUCCCAGAUGCAAAAGACUUUUACCACACUGUGUUUUCCUUUGCAUUUCAAAGCCUUGGAAUCAAAUGCAAUUAAGGUUGCCUGUUGGAUUGGAUUUGGGGGGCCUGUGUGCAAAUUUACAUACAUUUAUGGACUUAAUGAACAACGGAGGCAUUUUUCCAAAGUAACUCAAUAACAGGGAGCAGAUAAUUUGACCUUUUUUUUUUUUUUUUGCUAGUUGGUAAAAAUUAUCACAAUGCCCCAGCAAGAGAACAGGCCACCCGAAUGGCCUUAUUAAAUAUGGCCGUCUCAUCUCUCCCUCCCAGGGCUCCCAUUUAUAAUUCAUCAUUAAAACAGCUAGGUUAAGUGGCAUCUCAUUAUAAGGAAGGUGGAACUGAGUACUUAUAUUUUUUGGGAAAAAAAAAAACUAGAAAUGAUUCUGAGUCCUGAGAUUUUUAUGCAGCUCUUUGUCAAGGUGCAUUUCAUAGGUGACCUUUCCUGAGUGGAGAGAGGCAAUGUCUCAGAUGGGACAGGAUGAGGUAGCAACUCCAGCCAGAUGACAGAGAGAAGAGACCAAGUGGGACAGAUGCCAAGACUCGGGGAAUGGAGUAUGGAUGCUCUCUAUGAACCUGCUUCGUGAGAGGCACCUUUCCUUUGGCCAAUAUCAUGUCUUUCUCCACAAUUUCCAAUGGAGGCUCUCCCUUAGCCUCUUUUUCGCUCCAUAUCUGAAGCUACAGGAAGUUCCACAGCCAUGUACCGUGCUUUUAUGAGGCGGAGCAGAGCCAGAUGAUUUUAAUAAAGUUUUGAAAGGACAUUCGUUCCCUGCUCUUUCAAUGAAAACCACUCGCAAGAUGAAUUUCCAGCGAUCCAUCUAUUUCUUGUCAACACGUGCUCUCCUUACGCAAAUAUGCCAUUCCUUUGUAACAGCCAACCAAACAACACACCAACAAUCGUCCACUGCACAGGACCUGGGAGAGAAUGUCACCGUUGUGAGUGUUUAAUGGUGAAGAGAUGUGAGUGCGCUUAGUGCCUGUGUGAGGUGGUGCUCACCGACCCCUGUGGGCGUGAGGUUGUCCUUGUCCCUGUCCGACAGGCUGAGAGCUGGAUGUCUUGGCUACUGCAGUCCCUCUCUGAGAAAUGUCCUUAGCCAAAUACUGUCUACUCCUAGGCCAACCUGUUCUGGUGAUUUGGGGUGGGAGGUCAGGGAGGGUGUAAAAGCCCUGGUCCCCUGACAUCACCGGGUGACCUAGGGGGCCCGCAUAGCUCCAAAGUUCCCCCUGAAAGCAAUUCCUGUCUUCAUUGUGAUUACAUCACAAAUGACUAUUUCUACUUCCUAAACCUUCUGUGAUGUGAACUCAGGAGAGCCGUCCCCCAUCAUCCCACACAAAUCUCUACCUCAGGGCCAAGUUUCCAGGGAACCCAAUCUAAGAUGACGAAGAGUAUUUCUUUCUUAAUGUCUUGAUUUUAUUUAUCAUGGAGAUGUGAAAACAUUAAAAAAAUAGCCAAGAAAAUCAUACAACUCCUCUACCUUACCAACAUCUUGCCAUUCGCAUUUUAUGUGAUUUUUAAUAAAACUAUGCUUGUCAGGCAUGGUGGCGCCUGGGACACACAUUAUCCCAACAUACUGGUGGAUAAACUGCCUGUGUCUUUGAGGUGGACUCUGUGUUUGGGCUCCAUCCUACUCACACCCAAAUGUGCGGCUCCAGGGAGUCUCACUUGCCCUCUGGGACUCAGUUUCCCGAGUUGUAAAAUAUAAGACAUGGAUGGGGCUAAAACAAUGGCUUUCCAAAAUUUUGUUAAGCCUACUAAGAUUUUUACAAAUACUUUCCCCGUGAUUUAAAAUAUUUUUUUUAAAAAGCAAAUAGUAGCAAUUGAAGUAAUAAUCAGUGAUCAUCCCAUUUUUUUUCUAAAUCAUAUAAACCACUUGAUGUUUUCUCUUGAGUCUCAUCAUAUACGUAUGAGCACUUUCCACUGGACUUUCUAAAGUUGGACCACAGCAUGGAGAUGCCAUGGGCUUCAUGGAUCCCUGACGUGUAAGGAGUCAGCAGACACUACUUUUUUUUUUUUCUCUUUUCAAAAAAAUUUUUAAAAUUUGUUCUUAUUAGAUAUGCAUGACUCUAUGAUCAGUGUGAUUCUGCAAUCUGUGCAAUCAGAAAAAUGAGAAAUUAUACCCCAAUGAUAGAUAUGCAUGGCAGUAGAGUACAUUUUGACACAUCAUACAGACAUGGAGUCUACCUUCCCAUUCUCAUGGUUGGAUAUGAUGUGGAGUUUCCCUGGUCGUGUGUUCAUAUAGGAACCUGGGAAAGUUCUGUACCAUUCAUUCCACUGUCUUUCCCAUUCUCAUCCCCUGGUCUUCCCUUCAUUUGUCUCAUCCAGUGAACUUCUACUCCUCCCCCCUUCCCUUAUUGUGUGUUAGCAUCAGAAAGAACAUUUGGACCUUGGUUUUUUGAGAUUGGCUUAUUUCACUUAGCAUGAUAUUCUCCAGUUCCAUCCAUUUACUGGCAAAUGCCAUAAUCUCAUUCUUUUUAUGGCUCAGUCAUAUUCCGCUGUGUAUACACCACAUUUUCUUUAUCCAUUCUUCUGUUGAAGGGCACCUAGGUUGGUCCCAUAGCUUAGCUAUUGUGAAUGAACUGCUAUAAACAUGGAUGUGGCUGCGUCACUGUAGUAGGCUGAUUUUAAGUCCUUUGGGUAUAAGCUGAGGGCUGGGAUAACUGGAUCAACUGGUGGUUCCAUUUCAAGUUUUCUGAGGCAUCUCCCUCCAUACUGCUUUCCAGAGUGGUGGCAACCACUUCUCUUGAUCAUUUUUAUGGUCCUUAUUUGCUGAAAAAUUCUGUGAUGCUUUGAAAUAAAUCAGAUGAUUCAGAUUCAUUUAUUGCAC